rnacentral:rRNA from 1 species
AAAACGACUCUCGGCAACGGAUAUCUAGGCUCUCGCAUCGAUGAAGAACGUAGCGAAAUGCGAUACUUGGUGUGAAUUGCAGAAUCCCGCGAAUCAUCGAGUUUUUGAACGCAAGUUGCGCCCGAAGUCUUCCGGCCGAGGGCACGUCUGCCUGGGUGUCACGC